rnacentral:rRNA from 1 species
UACGGAAGGCAGCAGUGGGGAAUAUUGCACAAUGGGCGCAAGCCUGAUGCAGCCAUGCCGCGUGUAUGAAGAAGGCCUUCGGGUUGUAAAGUACUUUCAGUCGUGAGGAAGGUGUUAAGGCUAAUAACCUUAGCAAUUGACGUUAGCGACAGAAGAAGCACCGGCUAACUCCGUGCCAGCAGCCGCGGUAAUACGGAGGGUGCGAGCGUUAAUCGGAAUUACUGGGCGUAAAGGGCACGCAGGCGGUUAAUUAAGUUGGAUGUGAAAUCCCCGGGCUUAACCUGGGAAUGGCAUUCAAGACUGGUUAGCUAGAGUCUUGUAGAGGGGGGUAGAAUUCCAUGUGUAGCGGUGAAAUGCGUAGAGAUGUGGAGGAAUACCGGGUGGCGAAGGCGGCCCCUGGACAAAGACUGACGCUCAUGUGCGAAAGCGUGGGGAGCAAACAGGAUUAGAUACC